rnacentral:rRNA from 1 species
GACGAACGCUGGCGGCGUGCUUAACACAUGCAAGUCGAACGGAAAGGCCCUGCUUUUGUGGGGUGCUCGAGUGGCGAACGGGUGAGUAACACGUGAGUAACCUGCCCUUGACUUUGGGAUAACUUCAGGAAACUGGGGCUACUACCGGAUAGGAGCUCCUGCUGCAUGGUGGGGGUUGGAAAGUUUCGGCGGUUGGGGAUGGACUCGCGGCUUAUCAGCUUGUUGGUGGGGUAGUGGCUUACCAAGGCUUUGACGGGUAGCCGGCCUGAGAGGGGGAACGGCCACAUGGGGACUGAGAUACGGCCCAGACUCCUACGGGAGGCAGCAGGGGGGAAUAUUGCACAAUGGGCGGAAGCCUGAUGCAGAAACGCCGCGGGCGGGAUGACGGCCUUCGGGUUGUAAACCGCUUUCGCCUGUGACGAAGCGUGAGUGACGGUAAUGGGUAAAGAAGCACCGGCUAACUACGUG